rnacentral:rRNA from 1 species
AUUGAACGCUGGCGGCAUGCUUUACACAUGCAAGUCGAACGGUAACAGGCCUUCUGGUGCUGACGAGUGGCGCACGGGUGAGUAAUGCAUCGGAACGUACCCAGAGGUGGGGGAUAACGCAGCGAAAGCUGUGCUAAUACCGCAUGUGAUCUGAGGAUGAAAGCGGGGGACCGAGCAGCAAUGUUUGGCCUCGCGCCUUUGGAGCGGCCGAUGUCGGAUUAGCUAGUUGGUGGGGUAAAGGCCUACCAAGGCGACGAUCCGUAGCUGGUCUGAGAGGACGACCAGCCACACUGGGACUGAGACACGGCCCAGACUCCUACGGGAGGCAGCAGUGGGGAAUUUUGGACAAAGGGCGCAAGCCUGAUCCAGCAAUGCCGCGUGCGGGAAGAAGGCCUUCGGGUUGUAAACCGCUUUUGGCAGGAACGAAACGGUGUCCGCUAAUACCGGGCGCUAAUGACGGUACCUGCAGAAUAAGCACCGGCUAACUACGUG